UACGUAGGUGGCAAGCGUUGUCCGGAAUUAUUGGGCGUAAAGCGCGCGCAGGUGGUUUCUUAAGUCUGGUGUGAAAGCCCACGGCUCAACCGUGGAGGGUCAUUGGAAACUGGGGAACUUGAGUGCAGAAGAGGAAAGUGGAAUUCCAAGUGUAGCGGUGAAAUGCGUAGAGAUUUGGAGGAACACCAGUGGCGAAGGCGACUUUCUGGUCUGUAACUGACACUGAGGCGCGAAAGCGUGGGGAGCGAACAGG
rnacentral:rRNA from 1 species